rnacentral:rRNA from 1 species
GUCUACGGCCAUACCACCCUGAACGCGCCCGAUCUCGUCUGAUCUCGGAAGCUAAGCAGGGUCGGGCCUGGUUAGUACUUGGAUGGGAGAUUUAGUUUGGCCAAGUCAUCCAGAUGGUGCUGCAGAGC